rnacentral:rRNA from 1 species
UUUUAACCUCGGAUCAGGUAGGGAUACCCGCUGAACUUAAGCAUAUCAUA